GUUUCGGUUCCGUCAAAACCGCCGCGGCGGCUCGAGGAUCCGUUCGAGUUCGACUCCCGC
rnacentral:tRNA from 13 species